rnacentral:tRNA from 7 species
GGCGCGGUACCCAAGCGGUUAAGGGAGCAGUUUGCAAAACUGUCAUGCGGCGGUUCGAAUCCGCCCCGCGCCUCAA